GACGAACCGUGCAAGCGUUGUUCGGAAUUACUGGGCGUAAAGGGCUCGUAGGCGGCCAACUAAGUCGGAUGUGAAAUCCCCAGGCUUAACCUGGGAACUGCAUCCGAUACUGGAUGGCUUGAAUCCGGGAGAGGGAUGCAGAAUUCCAGGUGUAGCGGUGAAAUGCGUAGAUAUCUGGAGGAAUACCGGUGGCGAAGGCGGCAUCCUGGACCGGCAUUGACGCUGAUGAGCGAAAGCUAGGGGAGCAAACGGG
rnacentral:rRNA from 1 species